GGGAUCUUAAUUUAAAUUAUAAAAUAUAUGAUUUGCAUUCAUAAAAUUUAGAUUCUA
rnacentral:tRNA from 1 species